rnacentral:tRNA from 1 species
CGGGCGAGAGCAGGGCUUCUGGCUGCAGGGCGGGUGGUACCUGCCUCAGAACGGCGGGUUUGACGGACGCUGGGUGCAACUCUUUGACGACCGGCC